rnacentral:rRNA from 1 species
ACGCACGCUGGCGGCGUGCUUCACCCCUGCAAGUCGCACGGUGAACCUCUUCGGAGGGGAUCAGUGGCGAACGGGUGAGUAACACGUGGGCAACCUGCCCCCGGCUCUGGGAUAACUCCAAGAAAUUGGGGCUAAUACCGGAUGUUCACCGCUUCCCGCAUGGGUGGUGGUGCAAAGGGUUUCCGGCUGGGGAUGGGCCCGCGGCCUAUCAGCUUGUUGGUGGGGUAGUGGCCUACCAAGGCGACGACGGGUAGCCGGCCUGAGAGGGUGACCGGCCACACUGGGACUGAGACACGGCCCAGACUCCAACGGGAGGCAGCAGUGGGGAAUAUUGCGCAAUGGGCGGAAGCCUGACGCAGCGACGCCGCGUGGGGGAUGACGGCCUUCGGGUUGUAAACCUCUUUCAGCAGGGACGAAGCGCAAGUGACGGUACCUGCAGAAGAAGCACCGGCCAACUACGUG